rnacentral:rRNA from 1 species
UGCGUAGGCGUCCAGGAAAGUUAUUUGUUAAAGCCUCCGGCUUAACCGGAGAGAUGCAAGUAAAACUAUCUGGAUAGAGUUUAAGAGAGGAAAAUGGAAUUCCUGGUGUAGCGGUGACAUGCGUAGAUAUCAGGAGGAACAUCAAUGGCGAAGGCAGUUUUCUGGCUUAAAACUGACGCUGAGGCACGAAAGCGUGGGGAGCAAACAGGAUUAGAUACCCUGGUAGUCC